UACGUUUUAUUAUUGAAAAGGUUAAAGUUGUUCAAUCCUUGAACAAGAUGGCGUAGAAGUGUCAGUUUCAAACUUAAGUGAGCAUUUAAUCCCCUAACUUAUUUGCUUUGAUAAACCCAUCUUGUUUCUUUUCUUCUUCUUUAUGAUCCCAUACAAAUUACACAAUCUCGUCGCCGCCGUCGUCCGCCGUCUUCCGUCCGCCUUGGUGGGUUAUUGCCGGAGUUCUAUUUUUGUCUAAUUUGGUCAAGAUGGCUUCACUGGAAGAAAGUUUGCAGAGGUUCAAGAAGCAGCAGAAGAAGUGCCAAUCUACACUUAGAGUAUAGCUACCAAAGCAGGACCUCCCAUACCAACUCCUUCAAAACAAUACAUUGCCAACUGCAACAAUGACAGCUAGUGCUAAACCUCCUGCCCUGCCGUUUAAUUUUCAAAUGAUUCAGAAAGGCUUCAACACAUAAAUAGCAUACGAAAAGCUCCUGUGUGGGCUCAGAUUAAACGUGUCAUAGACUUGUUGCUGGAGACUACUAAUGAUUGAUAGGAAGCCCCAUGUCUGUGGAUUGACAUAUAGUGCUUAGCAGAAAGUAGAGCCAUAUUCCCCAAUGAAGGGUGGCUGGUUGUGAUGCAGCGGCACAUGAUACUCAGUACCCUUUUAAUCUUCAGUUGCAGUUGCUCCGUUCCAAUAUCUUUUAACACAAGUUAAGGGUUCCUAAAACUACGAAUUCUAGUCCUACACGUAAUACAACUCUCUAACCAAACUAAAAGGGCUCCUGUCAAAAAUUGGACGUAAUGUAACUUACCAACAACUGUAAGGUAUUUGCUUCCACUAUGUUUUAUUAUUCAUUUCCGCAUGAAUUCCAAGAGAUUGUAGGUCUUUUGAAAUAACAUUCUUCCAUGUGAUUUUAGGUCAAUCCCGUUUUCAUGGUAUCACACUUGCGGAUAGGUGCAGUCACGUAGGACAUGAUCAAACCAUCUUGGAUGACCUUUCCUCUUUUUGUUCUCUUCAUGUGCUACUUUCUGACAGAUGAUUUUGUCUAAUCUUGUAUUGUCACACUUCUUUUAUUUUCUUUUUUAAAUAUUCACAUUUCUAUGUCAUUCAUCUUGUGGAUAUAGUUGGCCUUAGUGCCCUAACAUUCAUUCUCAUAAUUUUGGUCCUGCAACCGUGACUAUUGAACUUACAACUCACUUUAAUUGGUAUCCUCUUAUCGCAGUAUCUCGUAGCACUCCAUUUCAGCUUUCUAUUAUAUCUGUGUCAUCUCGAUACUGACUUCAAUUAAUUGCUUGCAACCUGAUCAGCUACUCUAGUUUAAGCUCAUUCUCCUUGGCUGUCAGUCAUUUAUUGGCUGUAAUUUUAUGGAGAACUAAAUACCUUCUUCUUAUUGCUAUAACUAGGUUCAUUGGAACUUCUUUGAUUGAUGGUGUAGGUUGGUUUUGUAUUACCUUAUUGUUAGGGAUGGAAAUGAGAUAAUAUCCACAAAGCUGGAACUGAUCAGAUAUAAUUUGAAACAGCUGAAAGAAGCCAUUUGUGAAAAGGACCAAUGAUGUAAUUUCUUGACUAUGGUUGAAGCUAUAGCCAUUAAUCCGCAGGCUUAUGAUGGCUUCCGUCUGUCUUACUGGAAUCUGGUGAUGGGUGAUAUAAGAAGCUGUCUGAAUGGUCUUCUUUUGGGGGGAGGGGAGGGAAGGGGAGGACAGGAAAAUGCUGAUUCUGUAGAAGAAUGUAUUUCAUCUCAGUUUCAGGAAGAGCACAUCUAGGUCAGAUGAAGAUAUAGACACAUUAGGCUUGUGGCUGUUAGAACAAUGACUAGGUCUAUCUUUGAGGAUUUGUGAUGUGCUCAUUUUGCCAUUUCUUUUGGACAAAUUGCUCCCACUGGAGGCAGUAGUUUGUUUGCUUAUAAUCUUGUCAAAUAUCCCAAACAUGAUCUUAAAAAUUAAAGAUCAACUACUAGUCCUGAUAUGAGAAUUCCCUGAGUGUAUUGCCCCGAUGAUAAUUGCAUCUCUACUUUGAUGUACUGAUGUAGACAGGUGUAGGCUCCCAAAGCUGCUAUACCGAGGAAUUGAAUUGCCACUUGACAUGCUUGAUAUUGAGAAGGAUCUCCAGAAGAAUAGAAUGAAGACCUGCCACCACAAACACUGCAAAGAGAAGAGCUAUGGCACAAAUUCAUGGCAUUGAAGAAGAAGCAUGAGAUUAGCAAGAGGGGCAGCAGCAUUUCAUCAUCUCAAACAAGUUAUAGUCCUCAUUUCGUAUAAGAGAAGCAAAGGCUUUCCAGAUUCUGAUAUCAGGUGGUUUACCCUCCCGAGAAUAGGCCAAUGUUGCAACCCCACCAAGCACAGAAAGCUCCGAAUAAAUGGCAAACAUUUGUAUUGUUACUCCAUAUUACCAAGACUUAUGGAUCAGUGCUCCUCAAAACAACUAACAUUAGUAUGGAUCAGUGCUAGGUUUUUGGCUUUCUAUAUUUGGAGGUUAGUGUUUUUAUCCUUAUGCAUUGAAGUUUUUACUUGGUGCUAAAGGUUUGCCAUUGUGUAGGAUUUUGGACGUUCAACACCAUUGCUAUGUAUAUGUAUAUUAUUUUCAUGAGGUUCAAUAAGUUAAAAUUGCAAGGAUCUUGUUCUUGACGCCA